CUAGUAUUCCCUCCAUUCGGAAAUACUUGUCACAAAAAUGGAUGUAUCUACAACUAAAAUACAUCUAGAUACAUUCAUUUCUUGGACGAGUAAUUCCGAACGGAGGGAGUAUAUA
rnacentral:pre_miRNA from 1 species